UGCGUAGGCGGGUUUCUAAGUCAGAGGUGAAAGCCUGGAGCUCAACUCCAGAACUGCCUUUGAUACUGGAAGUCUUGAGUAUGGCAGAGGUGAGUGGAACUGCGAGUGUAGAGGUGAAAUUCGUAGAUAUUCGCAAGAACACCAGUGGCGAAGGCGGCUCACUGGGCCAUCACUGACGCUGAGGCACGAAAGCGUGGGGAGCAAACA
rnacentral:rRNA from 1 species